rfam:Eubacterium sp. CAG:786 genomic scaffold, scf37
GCAUGGCGAUGAUGUCGGAGGUUGCGCAGCAAGACUGCGGUAAUUUCGACGGAGUAUGUCGGGCAGCAAGCCCGGCGACAG